rnacentral:rRNA from 1 species
ACGGAAGGCAGCAGUGGGGAAUAUUGCACAAUGGGGGAAACCCUGAUGCAGCGACGCCGCGUGAGUGAAGAAGUAUUUCGGUAUGUAAAGCUCUUUUAGUAGGGAAGAAAUUGACGGUACCUACAGAAAAAGCCCCGGCUAACUACGUGCCAGCAGCCGCGGUAAUACGUAGGGGGCAAGCGUUAUCCGGAUUUACUGGGUGUAAAGGGAGCGUAGACGGUAUGGCAAGCCCGAUGUGAAAACCCGAGGCUCAACCUCGGGAUUGCAUUAGGAACUGUCAAACUAGAGUGUCGGAGAGGUAAGUGGAAUUCCUAGUGUAGCGGUGAAAUGCGUAGAUAUUAGGAGGAACACCAGUGGCGAAGGCGGCUUACUGGACGACUACUGACGUUGAGGCUCGAAAGCGUGGGGAGCAAACAGGAUUAGAUACCCUGGUA